GAAUAUAUUAAACGAAUCAUCUGGAAAGUUGAAUCAAAGAAGGUAAUAAUCCUGUAGUUGAAAAUAUAUUCUCUCUUGAGUGGAUCCUGAGUACGACGGAGCACGUGAAAUUCCGUCGGAAUCUGGGAGGACCAUCUCCUAAGGCUAAAUACUCUCUAGUGACCGAUAGUGAACCAGUACCGUGAGGGAAAGGUGAAAAGUACCCCGGAAGGGGAGUGAAAGAGAACUUGAAACCGUGUGCUUACAAGUAGUCAGAGCCCGUUAAUGGGUGAUGGCGUGCCUUUUGUAGAAUGAACCGGCGAGUUACGAUCUGAUGCAAGGUUAAGCAGAAAAUGUGGAGCCGUAGCGAAAGCGAGUCUGAAUAGGGCGU
rnacentral:rRNA from 1 species